rnacentral:rRNA from 1 species
AUUGAACGCUGGCGGCAGGCCUAACACAUGCAAGUCGAACGAGUGGCGGACGGGUGAGUAAUGUCUGUGAAACUGCCCGCUGGAGGGGGAUAACUACUGGACACGGUAGCUAAUACCGCCUACCAUACGCUUUGCCCAGAUGGGAUUAGCUAGUAGGUGGGGUAACGGCUCACCUAGGCGCCGAUCCCUCGCUGGUCUGAGAGGAUGACCAGCCACACGGGAACUGAGACACGGUCCAGACGCCUACGUGAGGCAGCAGUGGGGAAUAUUGCACAAUGGGCGCAAGCCUGAUGCAGCCAUGCCGCGUGUAUGAAGAAGGCCUUCGGGUUGUAAAGUACUUUCAGCGAGGAGGCGUUACUCGCAGGAGAAGCACCGGCUAACUCCGUGCCAGCAGCCGCGGUAAUAC